UAAGGGGUGAUGUUUGUAUGUGAUCAGGUCUUUCUUUCAUGAAAAUUUGAGGGAAUAUAUGUAGUAAAUGGCGGCGGGGGGAUCUUUACUUUUACUUACUCUAUGACUGAAGUCUGACUGUAUCGUUGACUGAACCUAGUCAAAUGUAUAUUUAAGGGCGUGUUUGGCUGGUUGGUUAAUCUAUGGGGUUGAGAUAAUGUUUGCAUAAAUAAAAGGGAUGUACUGAUUGAUUUAUUGUGCCUACCUUCUUGUCUACUUUUCGGUUUUGGUUUCUGUCAAAACGGUUUGGUUUUUCAUUUUUUUAGUAAUCAAAUUAACUAGGGGGUCGUUUGGUAUGAAUCGAGCUAUUCGGUGAUAUUUGAAAUAUCUCCGUGUUUCGGAGCACAAAUAGCUAGCUAUUUGGUGAUAUUGAAUAUCAUCAUAUUCUAUAGUAAGGCAUAACAACGUGAGACGUACAGGAAGUCUUAUCGGAGGUGCAGUCCUUACCAACGCGGCUAAUAUGGAUUGUGGGUCUUUGCCAAAACAAAUACCUCAAUCAUUUCUCUCCAAAACGGACAAUCCAAAUGAGAUUCACCCAACAAAUCGAAUAACUAUCAUAAUUUUCAAAACCAAAUGUGGUACUGGGGAGGGACAAAAUAUAAAAAUAAAAACAAAA
rnacentral:lncRNA from 1 species